UUUCAGCAAUGAGAAAGAGGUAUCCAAGGGGAAUCCCGUGAGAGCCGGGAACUGCCCCGCAACUGUGAAGGGAACGAAAGCCAAAAAGACAGUGAAUAGUAAAUGGUGAUAACUGAAAGAUAAAACUUUCUCCAAAUUAUUCACUGAGAACUGAUCACUGCUUUUAAAGCCACCUGACUUUGCAGUCGGGGAAGGCUGGCAAGUAGGAGGCCCUGAGUCAGGAGACCCUGGAUACCUCUAAACACUAAUACCCU
rnacentral:misc_RNA from 1 species